rnacentral:lncRNA from 1 species
UUUAGCUAAUUUUUAUACUCCCGAUAAACAACCCCUUAUUUUAUUAUUUUAGUGAAGCAAUAAACUAUGAGAGGGACUAGGAUUUUGGAUUAAAGCGCAGGAUGCUUCGUUUCUCCACCUGAGAAGGCUCGUAUGAAACCUCAUCUCUUCAUUUCUUCUCUUUAUAACUCAUCCUCCACACACUCUCUUUUCCACUCAAUUUUCUCUUCAACUUUGAAUUUAAACAUAUAUAUAGUUGACACUAGUUACUUUCUCCAACUGAAAUUAUUUUCUUUGUUUGAUUAGUUGAAUGACACUAGUUACUUUCUCCAACUGAAAUUAUUUUCUUUGUUUGAUUAGAAGAAGAAAAAUGGGUUCAUCACCACAAGGAACUUGUAGCUCACUUGAUUCCAUUAGGGAACAUCUUCUUGAUGAUGAUGUUGCUUUCAUGGAAUAUUACUGCUCUAACACUUGUUUCUCUUUUGAAACUACUCAAACCUCGAAAACAGAGUUUGAUGGUUUUUUCGAAAUUGAGGCAAAACCACAUGUUAUCAGCUCAAAUUCUCCGAAGCAGAGUAACUUCAAAGAACGCAAGCCAUCUCUGAACGUUGCAAUACCCGCGAAGGCUGUUGUUGUAGAGAAAGUGGAAGUUGAGAGUGAGAAGAAGCAUUACAGGGGAGUUAGACGAAGGCCAUGGGGGAAGUUUGCGGCGGAGAUUCGUGACCCGAAUAGAAAGGGGACUCGGGUUUGGUUAGGAACAUUUGAUACUGCUGUGGAUGCGGCAAAGGCAUAUGACAGGGCAGCGUUUAAGCUUAGAGGCAGCAAAGCAAUAUUGAAUUUCCCACUUGAAGUUGCAAACUUUAAGCAACUCCAAAAUGAUGAUGAUGAUGAUGUUGAGAUUCCACAGCCGGUGAACUCAUCAGGCAAUAAUAAAAGGGUGAGAGAAACAGAGCAAUUAGUUAUCAACAAGGAAAGAAAAAUAGAAGAAGAAAGAGUCAUUCCGAUGGCACCUCCAUUAACACCAUCAAAUUGGUCGACGAUUUGGGAUGGAAAAGGUAUUUUUGAGGUGCCACCAUUGUCACCAUUGUCUCAGCUUGUAAUGAUAUAAUUUGGGAUUAUAAGUAUUUGAUGAAUAUGCACCUGACUAUAAACUAAGUCUGAGGUGAAUUAGGAUUAGUUUUAUGAGUGUUUGGAUCUUCAAUCGUCAUUUAAUGUAAAUGCGCAAUCAAUCUAAAUUUGUUCAAUUCAUAUAUAUAUAUACAUUCAUUUUUAUAAUAUUCCAUGAAAAUAUUAAAGCGUAAAGUUUGUUGUGUACUCUUGAGAUUGUCAAUAUCAUUAGUUUCUAUCGAAUCAAGUUCUUGGUAGGCCUCAAUAAGAAACUAGUUGUGUUUAUGAUUGACAAUCCACUACAGAAGAACCGAGUCUUUAACUGAUUUACACAAAUUUUAUGCACGUAAUGAAAGAACUAGGUCCUUCGCAAAUGAAUGGAGCUGAUAGUUCAUUAGACGCGACAAAGCAAAUUCCAAUUGCAUAUAUGCAAUGUGUGGAUUAAAAAACAACAACUCGACAUGAAAAUAUUGUCAUAUUUGCAAAAAGGAAAGAGCUUUAGGAGAAAAUGAAUGAACGUUGAAACAAAUAAGGGAACCAAGUCCAAAUAGGAUUGAAUUUCUUAAUCAAGUUUCGAUGAGUUUUGGAGCAAGAAGACAAGAAAAAAUUGGCUAUCACUAUUCCUGCACAAUACACCACAUUGAUGUUAUUAUGUUGGAUGCUAUUUGCGCAGUUACAAAAUUUAUUUUUGAUAAUAAACAUUCAUUGUGAGAUUCAGUUGAUUUUUAAAAGAACAUGUUCUUAAGGAAGUUGUUGCUGUAGUUCUUGAUUUAAUUAUGUGUGAUUCUUUUAUUUGUGAGUAUCUUAUAAACCUAUGUCUACAAUUAUUGUAAUAGGUGUUUGAGUGUUGAAGUUUUGCUUUCUACUUUCUAGAUCAAGGAAGAGUCUUGAAAGGGAUUGUUUCAAUUGAUUUGAUUGUAAGUGAAAAGUACCAAGCAGUUUCUUUGAUUUUAGAGUUGUAUUCUAAAAUUAUUGAGGUUUUAAUGGAGACAAAAAUAGGUCUAAUUUCUAAGUAUCCUCAAGUAAGGUAAAUUUUUUUAUUGUGUAUAUUUUCGCGAUUUUACUUAUGGUUUGGUGACUUACGAGAACCUGAUUUUCUUUAGCUUAAUAGGUGAUAAUUAAAAUAAUAUCCUCAAUUUAAAAUUACAAGAAAAAAUUAUGUAAAAUUAGCCGCAAAGGAAUUACUACUGGUAGUAGGACAAAAGGCAGCAACCUGGAUAAUUCCCUAGUUGGUAAAAGGAAACAACCUUUUGCAAGUUGAUUGCCUUAUUGGAGUUGACGUUGUAUGCAAGUAUAGGUGACAAAUAGGUGAUGGGAUGGGACUCCACUCGAGUGAGUUUAUUUGUUAUUUAGAUUGAAAUGAUUAAAAUGCGGAUCAUAAUCAAUCUGAUCGACUCUUAUCAAGUUUCAAUUGGUUAAUUUGUUCUUUUAUCAUUUUGAGUACCUUAUUAUUAUUAUAUUUUUAUUAUAAUUAUAUAUUAUAUUUUUAAAAAUAUUUUGACUAAGCUAAUAAAUAAACAAAUUAAUAAUAAUAAACUCAAACUUGAAUAUAUUAAAAUUAAACUAUAAAUAUAUGGAUUAGUUUUGCCACAUCUAAGUACAAAUAAGAUGUGGACGUUACGUAUAUUAUUAUUUGUAUUAUCUCCUACAUUAUUAUUUUGUUAAAUAUUACCAAGCGUCAAUGCCAUUGAAAAGUACGUUUCGAAAGUAAACAAAAAAGCAAGUGAUUGGGUCCCUUUUGCCUUUGUGGUCAAUUCAUGUGCUAUGUUUUAUGUUUGCUAGCGGCUUCCUAAUUCCUAUACCUCAUUUUAAUGAGUUAAAAUUAUGUGCAAUGAUAAUUUAAGAUAUAUAUUUCUAAAUAAAUCAAUUAAAAUACUUUUAAAAAUAUAUAAAUAUAUCACUGAUUGAUAAACCCGUAAUAAAUAUAACUUAAAUCCUUAUUUGACAAUUAGUUAUGUAUGCACGUUUGUAGAAAGUUUAUGAUUAUUAACUAACAGGAUAAAAAAUAUUUAUGCAAUUAAAAUGUAAUUACAACUGAGCAUAAUAAUUAAAUAUUUGUUGAAAAUUAGAAGCUGGCUGGAAAUUGAAUCGUUGUUGGAAGACGUUGGACUCAUCCACCAUUGAAAAAGAGAGGUAACAAAAGGACCAAAAUAGCACAUAUCAUCACUUUGUUCCAACCAGCAAUCUUUAAGUAUAUUUUACUAUAUUAGACAAGCGUUUGCGAUGGAAAUUAAAUAUUUGUUGGUUUAUUUGAUAUUUUUAAAGUUGAAAUUGAAACUGUGCUUAUCCACACUUUCUGUAAAAAUAUUUAAAAUUUUAAUAUACUUUUCUUAAAUAUGAUUUGUAUCUUUUAAUUUCUAAAAAGUAGCGAAAUUAUCUAGCUUGACUGGUUUACCUGAAAAAUACAACCAACUCUAUUUAGAGGAAUAGUAUCUCAAAAUAAUGUCAUAAAUUAGAUCAUAUAUACGAGUUAUUACAUACGAAUUUUUUUGAAGUUGAAAUUAAAGAUCGAGUUGUAUUUAGUUAUAAUUUUGCUAAUGCUAUUUGAUCGCUUGAAUGUACUUUUCAUAAAAAGAACAUAAAAUAUGACUUAAACAUGAAAUAUAAUUUAUAAAGAAUUAUAUUUAUAAAAAUAAAAUUUUUAAGGAAUUUUAAAAAAAAAAUAUAUGGUGAAAUUUUCAAGUUGUAUUUGAAAUUUCAAUGGUUCACUUAUUAAAUUAUCUCAGAACUAUAAUUUUGAAACUAAAAUUCUUCGAUUAAUUUAUCUGAUAUUACAAUACCAAGUUAGAUGACAUAUGGUAAGGUGUUCAAGUUUAAGUUUGAAAUUAUAUUUAUACUUUCUUUCAUUGAAAGUUACAUUUAUAUUAUCAAUCAAUUCCUAAGGUUUGUUUGAUAGGAUGCAUUAGAAAAACAAUGCAUAUAUUAAAUUAAUUUUAUAUAUUAUUAAUACUCACUCUAUUGAUAUUAUGAUAUAUAUAAUUAAUUAAUGAUAAUUAUGAUGUUUGCAAUGCAAAAGUUUAAAUACACAUAAUUUUUACUCAAAUCUUUUUUUUACAUUCUUUUCGUUGUAUUUGUGGAAAAUAUUUUGUAAAUAAAUAACCCCCUCUACUCUUUUUUUUUAAAAAUGUUUUGUUUGUCUAAUUUUGGUAUGAUUCAUUUAAGAAAAUAAAAAAAAAUUGAAUAUUGUAAUGUUUAACUAAAGAUGUGUAAAAUAUUCUUCUAUCUUAUAUUUUAAUGUCAUUUAAAAAGUUAAAAUUAAAAAAUUCUCAAACAAAUAAUUUUUUUUUUAAAAAUAGCUAAAAAAAAAGAGCAACUUUCACAUAUAGCAAAUAAACCAUUAUACAAACAUAAAUUAUACAUUAUACAAACAUAAAUUAUACAUUAUACAAACAUAAAUUAUACAUUAUACAAACAUAAAUUAUACAUUAUACAAACAUAAAUUAUACAUUAUACAAACAUAAAUUAUACAUUAUACAAACAUAAAUUAUACAUUAUACAAACAUAAAUUAUACAUUAUACAAACAUAAAUUAUACAUUAUACAAACAUAAAUUAUACAUUAUACAAACAUAAAUUAUACAUUAUACAAACAUAAAUUAUACAUUAUACAAACAUAAAUUAUACAUUAUACAAACAUAAAUUAUACAUUAUACAAACAUAAAUUAUACAUUAUACAAACAUAAAUUAUACAUUAUACAAGCAUAAAACUGGGCAGGGGAAUAUUUUUAUUGUAUAAUUAUAAGUGUAUUUGCAUGUGUAUAUACAAUUUUCUUUCACUUUAUACAAACAUAAAUUUUACAUUAUAUUGUAUAAUCUGUGUUUGUAUAAAACGAGAAAGAGAGAAAGGCAAAAACGAACAGGGCAGGGCAAUAUUUUUAUUGUAUAAUUAUAAGUGUAUAGGACGAAUAUAUAUGUAUUUGCAUGUAUAUAUAUAAUUUUCUCUCGCUUUAUACAAACAGAAAUGCAAUUUAUACAAUUCUGUUGUAUAAAGCGAGAGAGGUGAGCACAGAGGGAGCGAGUGAGAAAGGGAGAGUGGCGACUGGCAAACAUUUGCUACAGAGCGCAAUUAAAUCAAACAGUAGCUGUUCCAUUUAUUUUAAAUUAUAAGUUUUGCCAUUCUAUACAAUUAUUCCAAAAAAUAAUAAUAAGACAAACAAAGUGAAACGAAAUAGGUAAUUUUUUAAUAAAAAUUAUAUACAUAUUAUUCUUAACAUAUCAAAUCAAACAACAUGUAAAAUAUAAUUUAACAUAAUUAACACCAACAUUACUAAUAUAACUCUUCAAUACUAUUCUUAUGCCUCUUGGGUCGCGACAAACGACCCCUUAUUUUAUUGUUUAGUGAAGCAAUAAACUAUGAGAGGGACUAGGAUUUUGUAUUAAAGCGCAGGAUGCUUCGUUUCUCCACCUGGGAAGGCUGGUAUGAAACCUCAUCUCUUCAUUUCUUCUCUUUAUAACUCAUCCUCCACACACUCUCUUUUCCACUCAAUUUUCUCUUCAACUUUGAAGUUAAACAUAUAUAUAGUUGACAUUAGUUACUUUCUCCAACUGAAAUUAUUUUCUUUGUUUGAUUAGAAGAAGAAAAAUGGGUUCAUCACCACAAGGAACUUGUAGCUCACUUGAUUCCAUUAGGGAACAUCUUCUUGAUGAUGAUGUUGCUUUCAUGGAAUAUUACUGCUCUAACACUUGUUUCUCUUUUGAAACUACUCAAACCUCAAAAACAGAGUUUGAUGGUUUUUUCGAAAUUGAGGCAAAACCACAUGUUAUCAGCUCAAAUUCUCCGAAGCAGAGUAACUUCAAAGAACGCAAGCCAUCUCUGAACGUUGCAAUACCCGCGAAGGCUGUUGUUGUAGAGAAAGUGGAAGUUGAGAGUGAGAAGAAGCAUUACAGGGGAGUUAGACAAAGGCCGUGGGGGAAGUUUGCGGCGGAGAUUCGUGACCCGAAUAGAAAGGGGACUCGGGUUUGGUUAGGAAC